GAAAAUAUGUUCUUGGAGAAGCCAAUGCGAUCAACGACGCCUCACACACGGACGCGACAUCAUCUUCUCUAUGGUCACUAAGAGCUUCAACGUGAACAACACCAUAUCGCAGUGCAAACCUUCUAGCGUUUCAACGGCUCCACGCAUCCUUCUCCAAGAACAAAAUUAAAAAGAAGGUGACGAAAGAAAACAACUCCAAGGUCAAUCUAUGAGAUUCAAUCCAACUUUCAACCUUCUUACUCUAUUCGUCCUGGUGUGCGCGAGAUUGAAAAUAAUGAAUUCGAUAUGAAGCAGAGAACUCACCGAUUCAAAGUCUUGACGCAAACAGAGACUUCUUCGAAAUUUUUGGAGGAGGUUGAGAAUUGUGGAAAAUGGUGAAAUGUUGAGUUGAGUGUUCUAUUGGUUAGGGAUGGUUCCUUGAAGAAGUUGGAAGUUGAAGUUCUGUUGAGUUUUGCCUUCAGAAUUUCUCCUUUUCUGUUACGCUUGCGUGUUCCUGUUGUUAGGCUUAGUUCAUUCUCUUUCUUUUUCUCUGCAAGUGCGGUGCAAAUAGUUGCAGAUGAUGAAUCAUGAUGAAUGCCUUUUUUUGGGUCAAGUGGGAGAUACACAGGGUUCUGGAAAAAAGUGGAAAAAAUCUCCCCGAGUUAGUUAGUCAAUCGUGAUUGGUGGAAGCGAAUUGUCAAAAGUUAAAUCAUGCAUAUUAUUUGUUGACUUGCACAUGGCUUAGAAUUAUGUGAAUGAGGAUUUGCACUAAAUAUUGCAUUGGCAUGGUGUAUUGUAUGAUGAAUUGUAUGGAGUUUGGAUGGUUAAAUGCAGGGUUGAACUGGUCAUAUUUCUUCUAUCAAUGCCAUUGCAGGUGAAUCUGAGUCCUGUAUGUUCACAAUCAUAGUUCCCCGUUUUAAUCUCCCAGAGUCGGUUGUGAUUGCAUAUGAUGGUCAGAAGAGUGUUGUUUCUCUGUUGGUUAUUCGUUUGGCGGGCCAUACGCCUUACGAGUCUGAUAAAGUUGUGCCUUACAAGUAUAAUGCUACUAUGGUAGAAGACGACAAAGAAGUGCCUAUUCAUGCUUUUUCGUUUGUUGUGAACAUCAUUGAUGUAAGUGGUGUGAGCGAAAUGGUAGGAUAUUUGCUGAUGUAGCUCCUAAGAGGACUGAAGAUAUGGUGAUAGAGAAAUCAAGUCAAGAGAAAACUCAUGUUGUACAAGUCGGCCAAUCCAAUGUUAUGAAUCAGAAUGUUGAUCAAGAUGGGGUGUUGAAACUGAUCAAGAAGAGUGAUUUCAAUGUGGUGGACCAGUUGUUGCACACUUCGUCCAAGAUAUUCGUGUUAUCCCUACUGAUGAGUUCGGAAGCACACCGAGAAGCUUUGUAGAAAGUCCUAGAGCAGGCCUAUGUGGACCCUGACGUGACAAUUGAUUAAUUUGAUGGUGUUAUGGCUAAUAUUACUGCAUGUAACAAUUUGAGCUUCAGUGAUGAAUGUAGUGGUAAAUUCAUGACCA